AAGCAUAUCAAUAAGCGGAGGAAAAGAAACCAACAGGGAUUGCCCUAGUAACGGCGAGUGAAGCGGCAACAGCUCAAAUUUGAAAUCUGGCGCAAGCCCGAGUUGUAAUUUGUAGAGGAUGCUUCUAGGUAGCGACCGGUCUAAGUUCCUUGGAACAGGACGUCAUAGAGGGUGAGAAUCCCGUAUGUGACCGGCCCGCACCUUCUACGUAGCUCCUUCGACGAGUCGAGUUGUUUGGGAAUGCAGCUCUAAAUGGGAGGUAAAUUUCUUCUAAAGCUAAAUACCGGCCAGAGACCGAUAGCGCACAAGUAGAGUGAUCGAAAGAUGAAAAGCACUUUGGAAAGAGAGUUAAAAAGCACGUGAAAUUGUUGAAAGGGAAGCGCUCACAACCAGACUUCUGGGCGGUGUUCCGCCGGUCUUCUGACCGGUCUACUCACCGUCCCGAGGCCAACAUCAUCUGGGACCGCUGGAUAAGACCUCAGGAAUGUAGCUUCCCUCGGGAAGUGUUAUAGCCUGUGGUGAUGCAGCGCGUCUCGGGUGAGGUCCGCGCUUCGGCAAGGAUGUUGGCGUAAUGGUUGUCAGCGGCCCGUCUUGAAACACGGACCAAGGAGUCUAACAUCUAUGCGAGUGUUCGGGUGUCAAACCCCUACGCGUAAUGAAAGUGAACGGAGGUGGGAAGCGUAAGCUGCACCAUCGACCGAUCCUGAUGUCCUCGGAUGGAUUUGAGUAAGAGCAUAGCUGUUGGGACCCGAAAGAUGGUGAACUAUGCCUGAAUAGGGUGAAGCCAGAGGAAACUCUGGUGGAGGCUCGCAGCGGUUCUGACGUGCAAAUCGAUCGUCAAAUUUGGGUAUAGGGGCGAAAGACUAAUCGAACCAU
rnacentral:rRNA from 1 species